rnacentral:misc_RNA from 1 species
UUUCCGUAGGUGAACCUGCGGAAGGAUCAUUAUUGUAUAACGGAGGUGCGAGGGCUGUGGCUGACCAGAAAGGGCGGGCACGCCCGAGUGUCAUCAUACACAACCAGCUCACCCCUAUGUGCUCCAUCGCGUGGGUCCCCCUUGGGCUUGUUGGGGGGGGGGUGUACGGUUUUACUCGAAGUUUGUGUGUAGUGGAGGGUGUAUUUUUUGUUUUUGCGAUCAUGUAAUCAAUACAACUAUCAACAACGGACUGCUUGUGUCUUGCAUCGAUGAAGACGG